rnacentral:rRNA from 1 species
UACAGAGGAGCCAAGCGUUGUCCGGAUUGACUGGGCGUAAAGCGCACGCAGGCGGAUGCGCGCGUGGGGUGUGAAAUCUGGCCGCUUAACGGCCAGGCGCCAUCCCAUACGGCGCGUCUGGAGCCUUGCAGAGGUCGGUGGAAUUGCCGGUGUAGUGGUGAAAUGCGUAGAGAUCUGCAGGAACACCCAGGGGGAAACCAGCCGACUGGGCAAGUGCUGACGCUGAGGUGCGAGAGCGUGGGGAGCGAACCGG